rnacentral:rRNA from 15 species
ACCCGCUGAACUUAAGCAUAUCAAUAAGCGGAGGAAAAGAAACCAACAGGGAUUGCUCUAGUAACGGCGAGUGAAGCAGCAAUAGCUCAAAUUUGAAAUCUGGCGUCUUCGACGUCCGAGUUGUAAUUUGUAGAGGAUGCUUCUGAGUAACCACCGACCUAAGUUCCUUGGAACAGGACGUCAUAGAGGGUGAGAAUCCCGUAUGCGGUCGGAAAGGUGCUCUAUACGUAGCUCCUUCGACGAGUCGAGUUGUUUG